AGCUGAAGAGUAAAUCCGUCCUGAAACGCACCAGAGAAACCAACAAACACAACAUUACCCUCUCCCGCAUCUCUCAUGCAAAGUGUCCCAAAGAGGCUGGCAGAAUGGAAUUGAGCUGAGUCGCAAUGAGAAAGCAUACACGCCAUAAAGGAGCAUUCGAUAUAGAAGCAAUCACUCCAAGGUGAUCCGUGCCAUCAGUCAGUCAGAGGUGUAAAUCCCACGGGACGCAUGAGGUUCCUUUCAAUAAAAUGCAGAUGGGAUUGUUUGAGAGCCGCCUCGCAUGUGUUUAUCGGUUACUUCUGCCUCGCUGCUUAUGCAGGCAUCCCAGACGGUUUCUACACAGAGACUGACAUUCAGCAGCCCUGACCACCCUGCACCCCCAUCUGUCUCAUCCUCCUGAUACUUUCUAUAGCAAUAAGACUGAGAUGGGCAGGAAGGAAGAUGCUGGAGUCAUUAAACAACUGUUACAAUUCUCCUGGAGUCUUGAGAUGGCUGACCUUGUGCUAUGCAUAAAUCUACUCCCACAUCCUCACUCCAAGGGACCACAAGGCAAGACAGCCCUUUCUCAUGAGCAUCUCGCUCUACCAAUCUUUCAGUUUUCCCUCUUGCAGGUUCCAAGUAAAAGCCACUCAACCACAGCCCCUGACUUCAUCUUCAAAGGGGUGGCGAGUGAAUGAUCAAUGAGACUAAUUUUCAGAUGUAACUUUCCUCAUGAGGACCAUGAGGUUUCACUGGAGACCUCUCCUAAGCACGACAUCUGCAGAGAGCGUUCUAAAUAGCUGCUGUGGUGGUUUGAAUAAAAAUGGCCCCCAUAGGUCCACAGGAAGUGGUGGUAUUAGGAGGUGUGGCCUUUGUUGGAAUGGACAUGGUCUUGUUGGAGGAAGUGUGUCACUAGGGGGUGGGCUUUGAGAACUCAGAAACUCAAGCCAGGCCUAAUGGCUCACUGUUCUCUUCCUACUGCCUUUGGAUCCAGAGGAAGAACUUUCAGCUACCUCUCCAGCAUGAUGUCUGCCUGCAUGCCGCCAUGCUUCCCACCAUGACAAUUACAGACUAAACCUCUAAACUAUUUAUUCUGUGAAGCUUUGAACACUCGGUGACUCGGAAUGGAGAAUUUUCAGUUUAGUAAAGCACACAGUUCCUAAGUGUUAUUUGGAUGUGGAAUCUGUUCCUCUGCUCUUCCCUUGUUUGGAGAUAACGAUAUUUUCUGCUGCCCCAUUUGACAGAUUUGACCUCCAGCAUUUCAGUGUUAAUCUGAACUGAAACAAGAACAGAAACGAAGAAAAUGAACAUGGAUCAGGAAUAUCACAUGUGCGCAGAGCGAGAAAACCUGGACCGACCGAGGCAGACACCGAGGGGGAUGAGCAGGACAUCACAGGGAUCACAGCCUGCUUGGGUUGUGUGAUGUGGUCGAGCAUUUGGAAGACCAUUACAAGAAGGUUUAUGGAAAAGAUCUGUUGAAGUGGUUAGAAUGAAAAUACGCAGGGUAGGUAGCAUCAAGCUAAAUGAUGAAGGUGUUCUUCAGAGAUAAUUAUUCAAGAAUGGACUUUGAUACAUGGACCGUAGGAACGCCUGAGCAUAUGCAAGUGCAAAGUCAGGGGGACUCUGUGGUCAAUUUCGAGUGCUAACUCUUUUGUUAGUAACGGGGUCGGCAACAGUUCAGAGCACUCGGGCAGCUGCCCUUACACAAGUGUCUGUGUGGUGCUCCCAUGGCAUCUGUGCAAGAGUGUGUCUUUUGUGAUAGUUCUAAACCAUCAAGAACAUGUGCCUGAGAAUCUAUCUCUAAGCACUCCUGAUUUUAUUAUUUUGUCAGAAUUAAAUAUAAAUGAUCCAUUUUCAUUGUAAA